rnacentral:lncRNA from 1 species
GCAAGGUCGUCGUUGCUGGUGUCCGUUUGGCUUUCUUAUCAGAAAAGCCACUGUGCUGCAAGAGACCUGGCCCGGGCGUCUUCCGCUGCCCUGCGCUUUGUGAAAAGAGCGAAGCUGAGUGCUGGAGGAGUCUGAGUGGUGACCCUGAACCCCUAAGCCUUAUCCGGGGAUUUCUCAGCAUCGUAGGCCUGGUUUAUUAAGACAAAAGAAGCAACUUAGAAUUAGCAGAAGGACACAAAAUGGCUUACACAUUUGCUUUUACUUUGUCAGUAAGUAUAUUUUAUUUUUACACCUCCCGUGCCCUAAUAUUGGUAACUUUGUGUAUUAAUAUAU